rnacentral:rRNA from 1 species
CAGUCGCCGCGGUAAUACGUAGGGUGCAAGCGUUAAUCGGAAUUACUGGGCGUAAAGCGUGCGCAGGCGGUUUGUUAAGACAGAUGUGAAAUGCCCGGGCUUAACCUGGGAACUGCAUUUGUGACUGGCGAGCUAGAGUAUGGCAGAGGGGGGUAGAAUUCCACGUGUAGCAGUGAAAUGCGUAGAGAUGUGGAGGAAUACCGAUGGCGAAGGCAGCCCCCUGGGCCAAUACUGACGCUCAUGCACGAAAGCGUGGGGAGCAAACAGGAUUAGAUACCCCCGUAGUCCCUGUCUCUUAUAC